rnacentral:rRNA from 1 species
UUAAGCGACUAAGCGUACACGGUGGAUGCCCUGGCAGUCAGAGGCGAUGAAGGACGUGCUAAUCUGCGAUAAGCGUCGGUAAGGUGAUAUGAACCGUUAUAACCGGCGAUUUCCGAAUGGGGAAACCCAGUGUGAUUCGUCACACUAUCAUUAACUGAAUCCAUAGGUUAAUGAGGCGAACCGGGGGAACUGAAACAUCUAAGUACCCCGAGGAAAAGAAAUCAACCGAGAUUCCCCCAGUAGCGGCGAGCGAACGGGGAGGAGCCCAGAGCCUGAAUCAGUGUGUGUGUUAGUGGAAGCGUCUGGAAAGGCGCGCGAUACAGGGUGACAGCCCCGUACACAAAAAUGCACAUGCUGUGAGCUCGAUGAGUAGGGCGGGACACGUGGUAUCCUGUCUGAAUAUGGGGGGACCAUCCUCCAAGGCUAAAUACUCCUGACUGACCGAUAGUGAACCAGUACCGUGAGGGAAAGGCGAAAAGAACCCCGGCGAGGGGAGUGAAAAAGAACCUGAAACCGUGUACGUACAAGCAGUGGGAGCACAGAGCAAUCUGUGUGACUGCGUACCUUUUGUAUAAUGGGUCAGCGACUUAUAUUCUGUAGCAAGGUUAACCGAAUAGGGGAGCCGAAGGGAAACCGAGUCUUAACUGGGCGUUAAGUUGCAGGGUAUAGACCCGAAACCCGGUGAUCUAGCCAUGGGCAGGUUGAAGGUUGGGUAACACUAACUGGAGGACCGAACCGACUAAUGUUGAAAAAUUAGCGGAUGACUUGUGGCUGGGGGUGAAAGGCCAAUCAAACCGGGAGAUAGCUGGUUCUCCCCGAAAGCUAUUUAGGUAGCGCCUCGUGAAUUCAUCUCCGGGGGUAGAGCACUGUUUCGGCAAGGGGGUCAUCCCGACUUACCAACCCGAUGCAAACUGCGAAUACCGGAGAAUGUUAUCACGGGAGACACACGGCGGGUGCUAACGUCCGUCGUGAAGAGGGAAACAACCCAGACCGCCAGCUAAGGUCCCAAAGUCAUGGUUAAGUGGGAAACGAUGUGGGAAGGCCCAGACAGCCAGGAUGUUGGCUUAGAAGCAGCCAUCAUUUAAAGAAAGCGUAAUAGCUCACUGGUCGAGUCGGCUGCGCGGAAGAUGUAACGGGGCUAAACCAUGCACCGAAGCUGCGGCAGCGACACUGUGUGUUGUUGGGUAGGGGAGCGUUCUGUAAGCCUGUGAAGGUGUGCUGUGAGGCAUGCUGGAGGUAUCAGAAGUGCGAAUGCUGACAUAAGUAACGAUAAAGCGGGUGAAAAGCCCGCUCGCCGGAAGACCAAGGGUUCCUGUCCAACGUUAAUCGGGGCAGGGUGAGUCGACCCCUAAGGCGAGGCCGAAAGGCGUAGUCGAUGGGAAACAGGUUAAUAUUCCUGUACUUGGUGUUACUGCGAAGGGGGGACGGAGAAGGCUAUGUUGGCCGGGCGACGGUUGUCCCGGUUUAAGCGUGUAGGCUGGUUUUCCAGGCAAAUCCGGAAAAUCAAGGCUGAGGCGUGAUGACGAGGCACUACGGUGCUGAAGCAACAAAUGCCCUGCUUCCAGGAAAAGCCUCUAAGCAUCAGGUAACAUCAAAUCGUACCCCAAACCGACACAGGUGGUCAGGUAGAGAAUACCAAGGCGCUUGAGAGAACUCGGGUGAAGGAACUAGGCAAAAUGGUGCCGUAACUUCGGGAGAAGGCACGCUGAUAUGUAGGUGAAGUCCCUCGCGGAUGGAGCUGAAAUCAGUCGAAGAUACCAGCUGGCUGCAACUGUUUAUUAAAAACACAGCACUGUGCAAACACGAAAGUGGACGUAUACGGUGUGACGCCUGCCCGGUGCCGGAAGGUUAAUUGAUGGGGUCAGCGCAAGCGAAGCUCUUGAUCGAAGCCCCGGUAAACGGCGGCCGUAACUAUAACGGUCCUAAGGUAGCGAAAUUCCUUGUCGGGUAAGUUCCGACCUGCACGAAUGGCGUAAUGAUGGCCAGGCUGUCUCCACCCGAGACUCAGUGAAAUUGAACUCGCUGUGAAGAUGCAGUGUACCCGCGGCAAGACGGAAAGACCCCGUGAACCUUUACUAUAGCUUGACACUGAACAUUGAGCCUUGAUGUGUAGGAUAGGUGGGAGGCUUUGAAGUGUGGACGCCAGUCUGCAUGGAGCCGACCUUGAAAUACCACCCUUUAAUGUUUGAUGUUCUAACGUGGACCCGUGAUCCGGGUUGCGGACAGUGUCUGGUGGGUAGUUUGACUGGGGCGGUCUCCUCCUAAAGAGUAACGGAGGAGCACGAAGGUUGGCUAAUCCUGGUCGGACAUCAGGAGGUUAGUGCAAUGGCAUAAGCCAGCUUGACUGCGAGCGUGACGGCGCGAGCAGGUGCGAAAGCAGGUCAUAGUGAUCCGGUGGUUCUGAAUGGAAGGGCCAUCGCUCAACGGAUAAAAGGUACUCCGGGGAUAACAGGCUGAUACCGCCCAAGAGUUCAUAUCGACGGCGGUGUUUGGCACCUCGAUGUCGGCUCAUCACAUCCUGGGGCUGAAGUAGGUCCCAAGGGUAUGGCUGUUCGCCAUUUAAAGUGGUACGCGAGCUGGGUUUAGAACGUCGUGAGACAGUUCGGUCCCUAUCUGCCGUGGGCGCUGGAGAACUGAGGGGGGCUGCUCCUAGUACGAGAGGACCGGAGUGGACGCAUCACUGGUGUUCGGGUUGUCAUGCCAAUGGCACUGCCCGGUAGCUAAAUGCGGAAGAGAUAAGUGCUGAAAGCAUCUAAGCACGAAACUUGCCCCGAGAUGAGUUCUCCCUGACCCUUUAAGGGUCCUGAAGGAACGUUGAAGACGACGACGUUGAUAGGCCGGGUGUGUAAGCGCAGCGAUGCGUUGAGCUAACCGGUACUAAUGAACCGUGAGGCUUAACCUU